UCUCCUGCAUCAGCCUCCCGAGUAGCUGGGACUACAGAUAAAGGAAGCUUUUCAAGAUCCACCAACUGAGGAUAAUCAAACCUUCCACAGUCUAGAACCUGGAGAUUGUGUCUUCUGGAAAUGACAUCAGAGAAAGGCUGCUCUUGACAACUCUUUGGAAGGGACCGUGCUGAGAUCUUCUCAACACCUACACUGCAGUGAAGCUUCAGGGCCUUGAAACUUGGGUCCACACCUCACAACUCAGAAGGGCCUCUUCAGACUCCUGGAACUGUACACCUGCUGGAGACUUUAAGGUAAAGCUGUCUAAGGAAAUAUCUCUCCAGAGCAGCGGGCAUUCUAGCUGUGGACAGCUUUCCCAAGAUCACAGAUCAAGACUUCUGUAUCAUCAUGAAAGCCUUACAUUUUUUCUUUUCUCCGCAUUUCCUGUUGCCCUAAUUCUUUCUUUUUCCCUACAGAAAAAUCCAUGGGACGAUAAUCAGUGGAUGGCUUUAGCUUGAGCAUAUGCUCUAGCACAGAACCAGAGUUUGUGGCUUAUUGGGUUUGUUUUUAUUGCCAAAAAAAUAAGGAAACAAUUCCGCUAAUGCCAAUGCCUCUCCAUGUUGCCAAUGAGAGUCACCCCAAAAUUCCAAGGGAAGGAUAGAAAGCUAUCCUUGAUAUUCUGAACACCAUUGCUACUUGUUUUCCUGCACUCACUAAAAGCAACACUUUAACUUUUCCUUUUUUUUUUUUUUUCUGAGGCAGUCUCACUCUGUUGCCUAGGUUGGAGUGCAGUGGCCUUAUCUUGGCUCACUACAGCCUCCACCUCCAAGGUUCAAGCAAUUCUCCUGCCUCAGCCACCCAAGUAGCUGGGACUCUAGGCAUGCACCACCGCAUCCAGCUGAUUUUUGAAUUUUUAGUAGAGACUAGAUUUUGCUAUGUUGGCCAGGCUGGUCUCGAACCUCCUUGCCUCAAGUGAUCCACCAGCCUCGGUCUCCCAAAGUUCUGGGAUUACAGGCGUGAGCCACCAUGCCUGGCCUUAACUGUUUCAAUUAAUAACCUGAUCAAUACCAAAAUAUAGAAAACCAGUCCAAGUGAUGCCUGCAAAAGAUAUAUUGUGCUUUCAGGCAUCAUGCACUCAAGUUACGGGAAUUACCUAUGUGAGUACAAGUAAUUGCUUGUAUAAUAUCACCAGAUUAAAUUCAACAGGGUCUCUUUUUACUAAAUGUGUUAUACACCCUUACAACAUACUACAGGGCGAGCACAAAAAGGUCAAUUUCCCAGUGGAUUUUGUUCAGGAGCUGUGUAGGUUUAUUAAUGAACAAAUCUAACUGACCCCUGCUCAAAUGCAACUAUGUGGCCCUGUUUUUCAACUCCCAAGGGCCUAUACUGGGUCUGUGGAUAAUCUGCGCAUUUCAUUCUGCCUCCUCGUUGACUCAGACCUUGCUGUUUGGUCUGGCUCACUUCUGCCUUUCAAAUAGUUUCACCUAAAAAUUCUCCUAACAGCUCUUAUGAUUGGAGGCCAAAAUAGACAAUAACUGAAAUUAGCACUAGCUUUGAAAUAGACAAAGAUAAGCUAGUUUCCACUGAGGAAAGAUUCCAGUGGGGUUCCUGGGGACUCACUCUUGGUGGUGGUGGGAUACUAGUUGUAUGGAAUCUGAAGCUAAUCCAUAUUUGGGGUCUUGGAUUUUAUAGCCAAUCAGACAUCCCAAUGUUCCAGACAGGUAGAAGCUACUCUCCAAAAGGUAGAUGUGGCCUGGUGCAGUGGCUCAUGCCUGUAAUUCCAGCACUUUGGGAGGCUAAGGCAGGUGGAUCACCUGAGGUCAAGAGUUCGAGACCAGCCUGCCCACCAUGGUGAAACCCCAUCUCUCCUAAGUACAAAAAAUUAGCCAGGCAUGGUGGCGUGUGCCUGUAGUCCCAGCUACUUGGGAGACUGAGGCAGGAGAAUUGCUUGAACCCAGAAGACAGAGGUUGCAGUGAGCUGAGAUCACCCCACUACACUCUAGCCUGGUUAACAGAGCGAGACCCUUUCUCACAAAAAAAUAAAUAAAUAAAUAAAUAAAUAAAUAAAUAAAUAAAUAAAAUAAACGAGGUAGAUGUUACAGUUAAUGGAACAUCAUGCAGCUUCAUAUCUCCUUUUUACUCAAGCUGGGGCCUAUGUUUGGUAUUGAACAAAAUGGAAUGCUGCAAUUUUCUCUCUACUGAUUUUGUUACUACAGAAAGCUUAAUGUAAAGGUGGCUGAUACUGCUGUUUCCUUAGACACUGACACCAAAUACAAUAAAGAAGUCUCUCAAGAGGAAAACAUGGUGUGUUUACAGGAGCAACUAACAGUUGGUUUGUAGGCAUCCUAAAUGGUGGAUGGCAAGCUUGGGUUUCCCAAAGGUUUCUAGUCUUUAUAUGUCUUCUAGUAGGUGUCCAGGUUAGUAUGGCCUGUGUUACCAGAGUAACAAUGAAAAUGGCUACGUCUUUAAAUCAGGCCACUUUACAGUGAACUAUGGUCCUUAAUUGCUAUCACAUUUCAAACAAGAACUAUGACCAAUUAAACUUUACUAUUGUUGAACUGCCUAUGUUGCCUGAACUUUGACUGGUUUAAGUUGGUUUCAUUUAUUUCAUAAGAACUCUUGUUAAGGGGUGCACCUUGGUAUUUUGAUAUUAUUCUCUUGAUAGUCAUAAUAAUAGUUCCCUGGUGUGCUGCAUCCUCUCAAGUCAUAAAUGUUUUGUAUGCAGCCAUACAUUGAGAAUUGAAUGGUCUCACUUCAACUAGGUCAGCAAGAACAUAAAGAAUCAUUUACCUAGUGUGAAGUUGUGACUUGUGAACUUCAUAGUGACACCAAUAAAGACUUGUGAACUCCA